rnacentral:rRNA from 1 species
CAGAGGGUGCAAGCGUUAAUCGGAUUUACUGGGCGUAAAGCGUGCGUAGGCGGUUCAGUAUGUCGGUCGUGAAAUCCCCGGGCUUAACCUGGGAACUGCGGCCGAAACUGCUGGGCUUGAGUGUGGUAGAGGAAGGUGGAAUUCCAGGUGUAGCGGUGAAAUGCGUAGAUAUCUGGAGGAACACCGAUGGCGAAGGCAGCCUUCUGGGCCACAACUGACGCUGAGGUACGAAAGCGUGGGUAGCAAACAGGAUUAGAUACCCUGGUAGUCCACGCCUUAAACGAUGAGAACUAGACGUCGGUCAGCUUGGCUGAUCGGUGUCGUAGCUAACGCGCUAAGUUCUCCGCCUGGGGAGUACGGCCGCAAGGUUG